GACCUAAGUGGUGUAGUGGUAGCACGCACCUUCGGUAUGGGUGAAACGUGGGUUCAACUCCCGUCCGAGGUCG